rnacentral:rRNA from 1 species
CCUACGGGAGGCAGCAGUAGGGAAUAUUGCUCAAUGGGGGAAACCCUGAAGCAGCUACGCCUCGUGGAGGAUGAAGGUUUUCGGAUUGUAAACUCCUUUUGUUAGAGAAGAUAAUGACGGUAUCUAACGAAUAAGCACCGGCUAACUCCGUGCCAGCAGCCGCGGUAAUACGGAGGGUGCAAGCGUUACUCGGAAUCACUGGGCGUAAAGAGGGCGGAGGCGGGAUAGCAAGUCAGAUGUGAAAGCCUAUGGCUUAACCAUAGAACUGCAUUUGAAACUGUUAUUCUAGAGUAUGGGAGAGGUAGGUGGAAUUCUUGGUGUAGGGGUAAAAUCCGUAGAGAUCAAGAGGAAUACUCAUUGCGAAGGCGACCUGCUAGAACAUAACUGACGCUGAUGCGCGAAAGCGUGGGGAGCAAACAGGAUUAGAUACCCCAGUAGUC